GAUCAAGAGUUCCGACGCGAAGCCCUGGCUCGUCGGACGGCAACCCCCUCCGUGGCGGGGUGCCCCAGGUGACGAUCAGGCCCCGCGCAGCCCGCGUCGGGGCAAGCACGGCGC
rnacentral:ncRNA from 2 species